GACGAACGCUGGCGGCGUGCCUAAUACAUGCAAGUUGAGCGCUGAAGGUUGGUACUUGUACCAACUGGAUGAGCAGCGAACGGGUGAGUAACGCGUGGGGAAUCUGCCUUUGAGCGGGGGACAACAUUUGGAAACGAAUGCUAAUACCGCAUAAAAACUUUAAACACAAGUUUUAAGUUUGAAAGAUGCAAUUGCAUCACUCAAAGAUGAUCCCGCGUUGUAUUAGCUAGUUGGUGAGGUAAAGGCUCACCAAGGCGAUGAUACAUAGCCGACCUGAGAGGGUGAUCGGCCACAUUGGGACUGAGACACGGCCCAAACUCCUACGGGAGGCAGCAGUAGGGAAUCUUCGGCAAUAGACGAAAGUCUGACCGAGCAACGCCGCGUGAGUGAAGAAGGUUUUCGGAUCGUAAAACUCUGUUGGUAGAGAAGAACGUUGGUGAGAGUGGAAAGCUCAUCAAGUGACGGUAACUACACAGAAAGGGACGGCUAACUACGUG
rnacentral:rRNA from 1 species